rnacentral:misc_RNA from 1 species
GAUGAAGAACGUAGCGAAAUGCGAUACUUGGUGUGAAUUGCAGAAUCCCGUGAACCAUCGAGUCUUUGAACGCAAGUUGCGCCCGAAGCCAUUAGGCCGAGGGCACGCCUGCCUGGGCGUCACACGUCGUUGCCCCCCCAUCUACUCCUUCGGGAUUGCGGGGGGCGGAUGAUGGCCUCCCGUGCGCCUCGUCGCGCGGUUGGCAUAAAUGCCAAGUCCUCUGCGACGCACGCCACGACAAUCGGUGGUUGCGAAACCUCGGUUGCCCGUCGUGUGCGGUCGUCGCGCAUCGAGGGCUCGAAAAAAUUGCCGGGCUCCGGCUCGGCUUUCAACGCGACCCCAGGUCAGGCGGGGUUACCCGCUGAAUUUAAGCAUAUCAAUAAGCGGAGGA